GUCUCUGUGGUGCAAUUGGUUAGCGCGUUCGGCUGUUAACCGAAAGGUUGCUGGUUCAAGCCCAGCCAGGGACG
rfam:Ciona savignyi cont_27702, whole genome shotgun sequence.